rnacentral:rRNA from 1 species
UACGAAGGGGCUAGCGUUGCUCGGAAUCACUGGGCGUAAAGGGUGCGUAGGCGGGUCUUUAAGUCAGGGUGAAAUCCUGGAGCUCAACUCCAGAACUGCCUUGAUACUGAAGAUCUUGAGUUCGGGAGAGGUGAGUGGAACUGCGAGUGUAGAGGUGAAAUUCGUAGAUAUUCGCAAGACACCAGUGGCGAAGGCGGACUCGACGUGGCCCGAGUACCUGACG